rnacentral:rRNA from 1 species
AGCGAACGCUGGCGGCAGGCCUAACACAUGCAAGUCGAACGAACCCUUCGGGGUUAGCGGCGGACGGGUGAGUAACGCGUGGGAACGUGCCCUCUGGUACGGGAUAACUGAGGGAAACUUCAGCUAAUACCGUAUGUGCCCUACGGGGGAAAGAUUUAUCGCCAUUGGAGCGGCCCGCGUUGGAUUAGGUAGUUGGUGAGGUAAAGGCUCACCAAGCCUACGAUCCAUAGCUGGUCUGAGAGGAUGAUCAGCCACACUGGGACUGAGACACGGCCCAGACUCCUACGGGAGGCAGCAGUAGGGAAUCUUGCGCAAUGGGCGAAAGCCUGACGCAGCCAUGCCGCGUGAAUGAUGAAGGUCUUAGGAUUGUAAAAUUCUUUCACCGGGGAAGAUAAUGACGGUACCCGGAGAAGAAGCCCCGGCUAACUUCGUGCCAGCCGCCGCGGUAAGAC